CUGCAUGGCUGUCGUCAGCUCGUGUCGUGAGAUGUUGGGUUAAGUCCGUAACGAGCGCAACCCUUGUCCUUAGUUACCAGCACGUUAUGGUGGGCGACUCUAAGGAGACUGCCGGUGACAAACCGGAGGAAGGUGGGGAGUGACGUCAAGUCAUCAUGGCCCUUACGGCCUGGGCUACACACGUGCUACAAUGGUCGGUACAAAGGGUUGCCAAGCCGCGAGGUGGAGCUAAUCCCAUAAAACCGAUCGUAGUCCGGAUCGCAGUCUGCAACUCGACUGCGUGAAGUCGGAAUCGCUAGUAAUCGUGAAUCAGAAUGUCACGGUGAAUACGUUCCCGGGCCUU
rnacentral:rRNA from 1 species